rnacentral:rRNA from 1 species
UACGAAGGGGGCUAGCGUUGUUCGGAAUUACUGGGCGUAAAGGGCGCGUAGGCGGCCUGCUAAGUCGAACGUGAAAUCCCUGGGCUUAACCCAGGAACUGCGUCCGAUACUGGCAGGCUUGAAUCCGGGAGAGGGAUGCGGAAUUCCAGGUGUAGCGGUGAAAUGCGUAGAUAUCUGGAGGAACACCGGUGGCGAAGGCGGCAUCCUGGACCGGCAUUGACGCUGAGGCGCGAAAGCCAGGGGAGCCAAAGCGGG